GACGAACGCUGGCGGCGUGCUUAACACAUGCAAGUCGAACGAAGUGGCGAACGGGUGAGUAACGCGUAAUCCACCUGCCCUUCAGUGGGGGACAACAGUUGGAAACGACCGCUAAUACCGCAAACUGAAGGUGGGGAUUGCGUUUGAUAAGCUAGUUGGAGGGGUAACGGCCCACCAAGGCGAUGAUCAGUAGCCGGUCUGAGAGGAUGAACGGCCACAUUGGGACUGAGACACGGCCCAGACUCCUACGGGAGGCAGCAGUGGGGAAUCUUCCGCAAUGGACGAAAGUCUGACGGAGCAACGCCGCGUGAGUGAUGACGGCCUUCGGGUUGUAAAGCUCUGUUAUUCGGGACGCGGUACCGGAAUAGAAGCCACGGCUAACUACGUGCCAGCCGCCGCGGUAAUAC
rnacentral:rRNA from 1 species